rnacentral:rRNA from 1 species
UACGGAAGGGGCAAGCGUUGUUCGGAAUCAUUGGGCGUAAAGGGCGCGUAGGUGGUUUUGUAUGUCUACCAUGAAAGCAUGCAGCUCAACUGUAUUUUGUCGGUAGAAACUGCAGGACUUGAGGCUGGGAGGGGCUGGUGGAAUUCCCUGUGUAGCGGUGAAAUGCGUAGAGAUGGGGGAGAACACUCGUGGCGAAGGCGGCCAGCUAGACCAGUUCUGACACUGAGGCGCGACAGCGUGGGGAGCAAACAGG